UGAGGAAUAUUGCGCAAUGGGGGCAACCCUGACGCAGCGACGCCGCGUGGACGAAGAAGGCCUUCGGGUUGUAAAGUCCUGUCAGUGGGAACGAUAAUGACGGUACCUGCUGAGUAAGCUCAGGCUGACUCCGUGCCAGCAGCCGCGGUAAGACGGAGGGAGCAAGCGUUGUCCGGAAUCACUGGGCGUAAAGAGCUCGUAGGCGGGAGCUUAAGUCUGUGAGUAAAUCCACCGGCUUAACCGGUGAGCCAUCUCAGAUACUGGGCUUCUUGAGGAUAGGAGGGGAAAGGGGAAUUCCUGGUGUAGCGGUGAAAUGCGUAGAUAUCAGGAGGAACACCUGUGGCGAAGGCGCCUUUCUGGACUAUUCCUGACGCUGAGGAGCGAAAGCCAGGGGAGCGAACG
rnacentral:rRNA from 1 species